AUUGAACGCUGGCGGCAUGCUUUACACAUGCAAGUCGAACGGUAACAGGCCUUCGGGUGCUGACGAGUGGCGAACGGGUGAGUAAUGCAUCGGAACGUACCCAGAGGUGGGGGAUAACGCAGAGAAAGCUGUGCUAAUACCGCAUGUGAUCUGAGGAUGAAAGCGGGGGACCGAGCAGCAAUGUUUGGCCUCGCGCCUUUGGAGCGGCCGAUGUCGGAUUAGCUAGUUGGUGGGGUAAAGGCCUACCAAGGCGACGAUCCGUAGCUGGUCUGAGAGGACGACCAGCCACACUGGGACUGAGACACGGCCCAGACUCCUACGGGAGGCAGCAGUGGGGAAUUUUGGACAAAGGGCGCAAGCCUGAUCCAGCAAUGCCGCGUGCGGGAAGAAGGCCUUCGGGUUGUAAACCGCUUUUGGCAGGAACGAAACGGUGUCCGCUAAUACCGGGCGCUAAUGACGGUACCUGCAGAAUAAGCACCGGCUAACUACGUG
rnacentral:rRNA from 1 species